rnacentral:tRNA from 1 species
GUCAGGAUAGCCGAGUGGUCUAAGGCGCCAGACUCAAGUUCUGGUCUCCAUAUGGAGGCGUUGGUUCAAAUCACUUCUGACA